CCAAUAGCGUAUAUUAAAGUUGUUGCAGUUAAAAAGCUCGUAGUUGAAUUUCGGGAUCAAUAUGUCUGUCGUGCCUUCGGUACGUACGGGUAUAAUUGGUUUCUACCUUCUGAUGAACCUUGAUGCCAUUAAUUUGGUGUCUUGGGGACUCAGGACUGUUACCUUGAAAAAAUUAGAGUGUUUAAAGCAGGCAUACGCUUGAAUACAUUAGCAUGGAAUAAUGAAAUAGGACGUUCGAUUCUAUUUUGUUGGUUUCUAGGAUCGACGUAACGAUUAAUAGGGAUAGUUGGGGGCAUUAGUAUUCAAUUGUCAGAGGUGAAAUUCUUGGAUUUAUUGAAGACUAACUACUGCGAAAGCAUUUGCCAAGGAUGUUUUCAUUAAUCAAGAACGAAAGUUAGGGGAUCGAAGACGAUCAGAUACCGUCGUAGUCUUAACCAUAAACUAUGCCGACUAGGGAUCGGAUGAUGUUAAUUUUUUAAUGACUCAUUCGGCGCCUUACG
rnacentral:rRNA from 1 species